CAGACCCCGGAACCUGGACCUGUUCUUGCCAGCAGGAGAGCCUUCGAGCGCCUGUAUUGUUGAAGACACGGAUCAGCUGGUAGAGGCAGCGAACGUCCGUUAAGUAGUCAGAUGUGUCUACACUAUGGGGCUUCACGGUUGAUCCAGCGUCUACUUGAGCAGCAACAAGCCAUCUCAUCUCUUUUUUCAUCUGAUCGCAAGUCUUGGCAUCUGAUGCCUUGUGACAGAGACAUUACCCUGUUUGAGGACUUGACAGAUGUAACCGUACCCUUGCUACAGUUCACUGAUGCUGUCAGCGGAGAAAAAUGUCACUGCUUUUGCUAUUCGUCCAAUUCUGACCCACUGACUGGAUGAUAUUCUUACUGCCCAACCUACAGACAGAGCACUUGCAAGAGAUCUGAAAGAGGUCAUCAGAAAUGACCUGCUGAAGCAUUAUGCAGAUGAAGUUCUCAGUCAUCUUCUUGAUUCAUGAACUGUUUUGGAUCCAAGGUUCAAGACGCCGCAUACUAUGAACCACGUGACUGCUGUUGCUCACUUGGUCGAGAAAUGCAUAGAAUUGCACAGUAUAAUCAGAAGAGGCAGCAAGGUUUCAGAGGAAGGAGGCUUAAAUCCAUCUAAAAAAGUAAAACCAAGUGGUCUGAAUAAUUUACUGCAACAGAUUGUAAGGAGAAAUUUACCUCAGCCUCACAAUUGCCUGCAAGAUGACAAUGUGCCAGAGGCCGCCCAUAAAGAAGUUACAGCCUGUGUAGGCAUGCCAGUCGUUGACAUGAAGACAGAACCAUUAGACUGGUGGAAAGGAAACGCAGAAUGUUUUCCACACUUGGCACACCUUGCCAAGAAAUACCUCUGUAUACAAGCGACAAGUGUGCCAUCUGAGAGAUUAUUUAGUGGCAGUGGCCUGGUGGUCAGUAUCUUCGGGGAAUCGCAUGGUGUUUUUGGCUAUGAAUUUACCUUAACGUAUACAGAAUUAAAGAAGUAGGCCUACUCUUUUUGUUAAAAUGAGAAACAUAAGAAUGUAUAAAACAGCAUGAUGUUCCAUUUUUCAAAUGUUAUUUUCCUGAAUUUCACUGUUCAGCAUUAAGACAUACUCAGAGUGAAUCCUUACAUUUGAAUGAACUGUCAUUAAGGUAGUUGUUGUUGUAUUUGUUUAUUUGGUUAAUAGAAAGUUGUAUGAUCAAUGGUUUAUUUAAUCCAGGUAGUUUUAAUUUAUGAAUAUUUCAGUGCUAUUAGUUUUAGCAUAUAGUCUAACGCAGGUGUUAUUAACCCUGGUCACAGAGGAUCCCUGUUCUAGCUUUCAUUCCAAAUGAGCUCAGCUUUCAGUUACCAAAUUGGCACUUUCAUUUAAGUAAUAGUGUGCUAAACCAAAUAAUUUAAACUAUUUUCAGCUAAAAAAAUAAAAUAAAAAGUUCUAGGGAAACCAGAAGACAGGGAUCCUCAGGGACGAUGGUAGAAAAUCCCUGGCCUAAUUUUUUUUUUUUUUUUUUUUUUUUUUUUUUAAAGAAGUUGAUCUUAAUUCAGUAGAAGAAUGUUUUAGCUGCCAUACUCACUGAUUUUAUUGUGUGAGGGGAAAACAAUCUACUAACUGUUUUAAGUUUGAUAAAAAAAUAAAUAAAAAGACAUGCAUUAACUGCGGUUUCCCAAUGAGCAAAUACCACAAUCACAAUUAUCGCAAUAUUCUGUCUUACAAUAAUCGUUUUAGAGAUUUUCAACAUUGUCCCAACCCUAGAUGACUGCAAUUAACUCAGCAUGUUUACAUUUUAGAUAUUUUGCAAGUGUUGUGUAUGGAAUUGGUGACCUUUAACUGUAUACAAUGUAAUGUAGAAAAUAACCGGCUGAAUUUCGCAUACUCGGCGUUAGUUAGUGGAACACACCAGCUCUUCUGUUUACAUGUUACCAUUUUUUUUUAUUUUUUUUUUCAGUACAAACAAGUUUAAAUUUGUUCAUUUUGUUAUGUACGACAUUAAAAUACACCACAGCAAGCACACUGUCCUAUACUUGAGAUAUUUCCAAACCACUCUUUUCUGAAUGCUAAGUUUAGUGAAUGGCAUUGUUUCUACUGCAGUCAAGUAAGCUGCAGUAAACUUAUUUUUUAUUUUUCCCUAAAUGUUUAUUUUUUUCCAGUAGUACACUUCCUAAAUAGUCUUCUUUUCUGUGUUCUGUUUUCACCUUAAUUCCUGACGGUAAACAAUAUAACCAAAUCUACUACAUCUGUGACAGAUGCAGCUGCAAAAGAUGCAACAAACAAAAAAAUCUGUUUGUGUCAACUGUUCAUUAAGCACAUUUUUUACCAACAGUACUCACGUGCAUUUGGUCAUCACCACAACUGUUGCAUAAAACGGCUGUUACCGUAUUCUGCUGUUGUUAAUACGUCCCCUCUGGACUUCCAGGCGUUUGUGUCACUUUAAAACUUGUGCUAUUCAGGCUUUUUUUUUUUUUUUUUUUUUACAGACCAACGUCACAGUACAUCCAUAAAUAAUGACAUAUGCUUUUAAAGUGAUAGGCAACCCCAAAAAAACAGUUGCCAAAACAUUUGUUUAGCUGCUUUGUCAACCAUUUAAGUGAAACAGAACAGUUUUAACUAAUUACAUUUUUUAAACAUUCUGUGUAAGGAAAAUGAGCAAGUAACUGACAUUUCCUGCUACAGGUUUGUGACAGGGCACACAUAGAGAUAUGUGUUUUGUGGCUGGCAGCCAUUCUGGCUCAGGUGUGGAGCAACAACCUGAAGCCAAGACGGCCACUUCUCCACAACCACGCAGUUUAAAUGUUCAAUUGUUUUAUUUAAUUAAUUUAUGAGAAAAGUGUAUAAUGUGGCAAGGUGGGAAUUUAACUAUUGAAGUUAAUUACCCCUGGCCACAACCUAUAAAAAAGGAAACUGAGAAAAGUUUGUUGAGGAAGGAGAUGGUUCAGUGAAGGUGCUUUGCCCAGCAUGAACAGAAAGAGAGAGAGCGUUUUUUUUUGCAGUGUUUUAUUUAACUGUUUAUUUUGUUCCUGUGUUUUCUUUAUUUUGUUGUUAAUAAAAGAGAGCGAGAGUGCUACACUGCAGUUUGAGUCUGGGUGAACUAUUUCAAGGGCGCAAGCCUUGAUGUUCCCAAAUACUACAAGCAAGGACAAACAUAGCACAUUAUCAGAGAUACACCAGAUAUAUCAGAUAUAUGCAUUUAACAACGUAUAAUUCUUUACAGUGGUGUAACAACCUAAAAUCUAUUUUCUUUAAUCCACAUUUGGUUAUACCAGUAUCUGGAGGUAUAGGAUUGAACUGCAAGUUCGUCAGUUUGUGUAAAAUCUGCUGUUGACUUCUUCAGACCUUAAUCAGUCAAUGCUGGACGUGUGUUUGGUCUCAAGACAUAGGCACAUUGCUCUAAUUUAUUUACAGAUUAGCUGUUUCACUAAAUGGAACCACAGCUUAAAAGAAUUCAGACUGAGCCUCCGAUGUGAGGUUGGUUAAUGAAGUGAGAUCAUCAAAUGACAAUGACAGUGACAUUGCUCAAUAAAUGCAAUCUGAAGGGGCUAACAUGCUCGUUGACAAUGGCAAUUAGGAUUGAAUUAAUCAUUUCAACACUUACCUUGGCU